ensembl:misc_RNA
UUGACAGCCAUGGAGAUUAAGUCCUCUAUUUAUUCACAGAAUAGAGACACCAUGAGCAGCAGCACUACAGACUUCGUUUAACCAUACCACCCAUCUGGAUAUGGAGGUGCCAUUAUUAAAGAUAAGAGGCUUAUUCAGUUUCCAGAAUGUUAAAGGCCAACAUUU